rnacentral:rRNA from 1 species
UACGGAGGGUGCGAGCGUUGUUCGGAAUCACUGGGCGUAAAGCGCGUGUAGGCGGCCCACUAAGUCUGAUGUGAAAGCCCGGGGCUCACCCCCGGAAGUGCAUUGGAAACUGGUGGACUCGAGUCCCGGAGAGGAGAGUGGAAUUCCUGGUGUAGCGGUGAAAUACGUAGAGAUUGGGAAGAACACCAGUGGCGAAGGCGGCUAUCUGGACGGUUUCUGACGCUAAGACGCGAAAGCGUGGGGAGCAAACAGG